UACGGUAGGUGGCGAGCGUUGUCCGGAUUUACUGGGCGUAAAGGGCGUGCAGGCGGUUUGUUAAGUGCAGGGUGAAAGCUCCCGGCUCAACUGGGAGAGGUCCGUUGCAUACUGGCGAACUCGAGGGAGGCAGAGGAAAGUGGAAUUCCCGGAGUAGUGGUGAUAUGCGUAGAUAGUCGGGAGGAACACCCUGUGGCGAAGGCGGCUUUCUGGGCCUUACCUGACGCUGAGACGCGAAAGCGUGGGGAGCAACCGG
rnacentral:rRNA from 1 species